rnacentral:rRNA from 1 species
GACGAACGCUGGCGGCGUGCUUAACACAUGCAAGUCGAACGGCAAGGCCCUGCGUUUGUGGGGUGCUCGAGUGGCGAACGGGUGAGUAACACGUGAGUAACCUGCCCUUGACUUUGGGAUAACUUAAGGAAACUGGGGCUAAUACCGGAUAGGAGCUCCUGCUGCAUGGAGGGGGUUGGAAAGUCUCGGCGGUUGGGGAUGGACUCGCGGCUGACCAGCUUGUUGGUGGGGUAGUGGCUUACCAAGGCUUUGACGGGUAGCCGGCCUGAGAGGGUGACCGGCCACAAGGGGACUGAGAUACGGCCCAGACGCCUACGGGAGGCAGCAGUGGGGAAUAUGGCACAAUGGGAGGAAGCGUGAUGCAGCGACGCCGCGUGCGGGAUGACGGCCUUCGGGUUGUAAACCGCUUUCGCCUGAGACGAAGCGUGAGUGACGGUAAUGGGUAAAGAAGCACCGGCUAACUACGUG